ensembl:lncRNA
GGGGACUUCACCAACCGAGGACCAUGGCUGGACAGAAAGACUGUGCACUUUGGGGUCAGCUGGGCCUGAGUUAGACUCCAGCUCCCCCACUUGUUAGCUUCAAAUUCCGAGAUAGUUGUGUUUGAACUUAUUUGACUUCCUCUGGGGCUACUAAUCUCCACAUCGCUCAAUCCUUGGGAGUCUGUGAGCUCCCCAAGAGGGAAACUAUCUGAUUCAUCCUAAAAGCCAGAAGCAAGUGAAGCCAUCAGCAGCACAGAUCACAGAUGAUGACUCUUCUGUUACUAAAGCACUGGGAGCUGCGGGAGCCUGUGCUGAGCCCACCAUGGCUGGUGAAUGAAUGAAAAAGGAAAGAAUAUUUCAUCAGGGAACAGAGAUCAGAAGAAAUCACACAGGGAGCUGUGACUGAGCAUGUCUUGAAGGGACCUCAGGGAUGUGGCCAGAGAGUUGUCAUCUCCAGGAUGGGAGCGGUGGGAAGAGACUGUGAAGCCUGCAGACCCCAACCCCUCAGUGGGACAGCAGCAGGGACCUGGAAUCUUCCAUCAGGAAGAAGCAAUACUGGUAGGCAGCAGAUGGCAACUUCAAACACGUGCAGAUGGCUUGCAUUGUAACCCGACGGACAGUAAGAACACAUAUCCUAGAUCACCAACCUGGAAGACACCCCCUUAAAUAUACCCAACUCUGCUCAUAAGGCACCUCAGCACCCACAAUCCACUGCUAAGUGCAACCUAAGAUCUCUAUCUUAUAAACCCUUUUCAUGCCUCUUACAGUCACAUUCUGAAAAUUCUUUUUCCGUGGCAGAAGGCAGCAAACCUGCAAACUUGGGCCAGGGAUUUAGCUCAGUGGUUUUGCCACCUGCUGCGCAAGUGGAAAGACCCAAGUUCUAUCCCAAGUAACAACAAAAAACAAACAAACAAACAAACAAAACCCUGCAAACUUAUUCUACAAGAGUGGGACAGGUUCCUUAUUUCAGCCCUGGUGACCUUCAGAACCAGCUCAGUGACAAGACC